rnacentral:rRNA from 1 species
GACGCUGGCGGCGUGCCUAAUACAUGCAAGUUGAACGCUUGAUUUCACCGAAGCUUGCUUCACCGAAAAUCAAGAGUAGCGAACGGGUGAGUAACGCGUGGGUAACCUACCUAUCAGCGGGGAUAACUAUUGGAAACGAUAGCUAAUACCGCAUAACAAUGUUGGAUGCAUAUUCGACAUUUGAAAAGUACCAACUGGUACACUGAGAGAUGGACCCGCGUUGUAUUAGCUAGUUGGUAGUGUAAUGGACUACCAAGGCGAUGAUACAUAGCCGACCUGAGAGGGUGAUCGGCCACAUUGGGACUGAGACACGGCCCAAACUCCUACGGGAGGCAGCAGUAGGGAAUCUUCGGCAAUGGACGAAAGUCUGACCGAGCAACGCCGCGUGAGUGAAGAAGGUUUUCGGAUCGUAAAACUCUGUUGUUAGAGAAGAACGUUGCAUAGAGUGGAAGAUUAUGCAAGUGACGGUAUCUAACCAGAAAGGGACGGCUAACUACGUG